AAACAAACACAAAGCGUUGCAUAUUGCAUAAAAGGUUUGAACAAACUUUUAUAAUCAGCUACGUGGGGGAAUGUGGACGGCACAAACAGGAAAUGGGAGCAGGGCACGUUCUAGGCUACCGGAAGUCCUGCUGGCUUCGUGUGAAAGCAGUAAUCACAACACCACAUGUGCGGGAAGGAAUGUGCAUAGUUAGGACUCAGCUGAUGACAGGUUGUUGGCACGAUCAUCAAGCAUCCACGCAUUGUGUUUCUUUGGCCUUCCCGCCUUACAGCGACAUACCUGAGUGCACUUGCUCCUAAAUAAUUAGUGCAUCGGGCCAGCCAGCCGUCCAUUUUCUAUACCACUGCUGCUCAUUAGGGCCACGGGGAAGAUGGAGCCUAUCCCAGCUGACAUCCCAAAGCUGCCGCGACCAAGGGAGUGAAGUGACGAAGGCGUGUGAUGUGGGGGGCUAUGCGCUUCCCGUGUUCCCCUGUGAUCCCUCGUUGUUCCCCUUGCCCCCCG